GUGGCUCUCAACAAGGGAGGGCUGGCACAAAAUCUUCAGCCAACCAUUAUUUUGCAAAGCAACAAGGAAAACCAUCAAAGCACUCUGGAGGAAGCAGGAACAAAACAAAAAAUGCUACGUGCAUUCAUGUGAAAAAUGAAGCGUGCACCUGUUAGAUGAGGUCUUUCAUGACAGCCGUACAUUGCAGGCAAUUUUCUUCUGUUUACAAAGCCCAGUGAAGAGGCUAUCUGUUCUGUCCUCCUGAGUGUCUCUCGAGUGCCCUGAUACCGAAUUCCAACACAUUUGUACCUUCCCACCCUUGUGGAUACUCACGGAGUGUCCAGGAAGCAGGGCACACAGUCUGCUGCCUAGACCAGAGUGGACCAGGACCCACAGCUCUGGAAACACACGGAGGACUGUAAGAAAUGAGGAACCCUGAAACAGAACCUGAGUUCCCACAAGAUCCCCACCUUGUCUCAGUCACCCUAAGGUUGGGGAAGCUCUGCUCUGAAGUGUCACGGUGGCUUGAGCUCACUGUCUUUUCUGUGUCUGCUGAGAGCAUUCCCUGGACAUGACCUCAGUGUCUGACAAAAUCUCCAAGAAGUCACAGGUCCCAGCAGAUCACCUGAGCCACCUUGCUUCCUGUCCUUCUGAUCAAGUCUGGGCACGUCCACAGCAGCACUCGGGGCAGGAAGCCAGGGGUCGGUUCCUCUGAUGUGGGACGAUGCCCCUGUGUCCAGCUGUGGAUCUGUGAGACUGUCUGGACCUGUCCCGGCCACUGCCCUGUCAGAGUGGCUGUGCUGGACAGGGCAGGCUUGCCCAGCUGCUGCAAGGUUUUCCUCAAGAGACAGCAGGGUGGCCUUCUUGCCAAGCCGGGAAGCCAUGGAAGAAACAGGAAGGUGAAAUUCCCGAAAAGUGGAAUUUUCACAAAUAUGAAAUUUUAGGAAAGACCAACCAAGUUAAUCAAAGCAGAUGAAGACUAAUUAAUUAAAGCAGAUGAAGACUAAUUAGUCAAAGCAGAUGAAGACUAAUACACUUUUUAUAUAAAGAGCUCACACUACCCUGAAGGGAGACCACAUAGCCUUGACACAUGGCACAGGCUGGGAGCAGGUUACUUAGCAGCCAGCCUGGCCACCGCACUCACGUCCCCAGUAACCUGAGUGCUGCGUUCUUUAUUAAGAACACGUUAGUACACAUCACACACACACACACACACACACACACACACACACAAACACACGUGCACCAUAAAAGUUCUACGCAGUAAAACAGACCCAGCCAGGCCCUGCGGUGAACCAGGACAAGUCAGCCUCUGUAAGAGAACUUGGGAAAACCUGUCAACUACCCAAGAAAACAUAGCUACAAUUCUAGCCAUGACUUUCUCAUAGGAAAGUGUCACACUAUCUACGGUGGCUUCCAUGUUUUGUAACAUAAUAUGACAUUCAAAAUAGUUAAUUUUUUUGUACUUUGUAAUUUUUCUGGGCUUACAUUUGGGAGACAAAUGGUCACUUUCAUAGUUUCUAUGUUAGCCCUAUCCAGCCGAUAGGGGUUACGUAAAGUGCAUUUAUAAAGUGAAAUUUUUUGAGUAAAAGGAAGAGGAUAUUAUAGAAUCGAGAUGCUGUCUGGACAUUAAAAUAGACCACACGUGGGAAGGAUGGGUCAUGUUAAUACAUGGUCUUGCGUCCAGGGCAGAAAGAGAGGUUCCCUUAACAUACCUUCCAAACCUGUGUAAGGUAGCUUGGCAACCUCGCAGUGGCUGCAGGACUGACCAGGGCUCCAGCAAAUGCUGCACCACACGCUCCGUGCACCCUGUGGGGCCUGCAGUCAGCUCUCAUGUGACAGGGACAUGGUUCUGAGGAAAAGCGGGCCAAGACCUCCGUGCCUCACACUGGUCCCUCCAGCCUGCAGACAGAUGUGUUGUACCAACAAGUGUGUGGCAAAAA